UAUAAAGUUAACCUAGAAAAUGGCGUAGAUAAUAAAUCAGCAACAAUGUCCUCCUCAUUGCGGUAACGUCACACAGCUGCCAUCAUGAGGUGGAGCUGUCACUUGAGCAGCCAUUCAUAAGGGAGAUGCAGUGCAACUGCAAAGCUGGCUUGGGACAGUGCAAUCAUCUAAUCAGGCUGCUUUACACUCUCACUCACUUCCCCAAGAUGGGCUACACAUCUGUUCCCCUAACUACUAGCAAGACGUCACUGCCUGUAGCCUGGCACGUUCCAUCAAGGGCCCUGGGGGUCAGUCCAAGAACGGUGAGCUCUCUGAGUGUUUCAAAGCUAAAACCACCGGUGACCAACGCACCCCCGCCAAAGAGGCAACGCUCGUCUGAAGGGGUGAUGUCAAACCUCUACUGUCCUUUGCCACUCCCGCUUCCAUCAAAUGCCUUUGCAGAGAGCCUACACUGAAACCUAAGUCAAAUAGGAAAGGCUGAAAAAAACAGACUUUGGAGACCAUCCAAGGGGAUCUGUGCUUACAUACCACGCAACACAGUCUUCCAGUGCUGAUGAUCAUCACCUCUUUCCCUUACCAUCACAGCCAAGCUCAUUUUACACUGUCCUGGAUGACAAUGAGGCGUGCUACUAUGGUGGCCUGGUGGUCACUCAGGCUGUUGCAAUACAGCUGGAAAUUGAGACAAGGGAACAGAGCCAUAGCAAGACCUGGCAUAAGGUCCAAGCCAACCGUCUUACCUCCUCUUCCUUCAAGGGGAUUUGUUCAAGGGUGGCAAACUUUAAUGUAUUAGCUGCCAAUUUGAAAAAUAAAUCAGUGCAGACUAAGGGGAUGAAGAGAGGUUGGGAGCUGGAGCCUGUUGCUGUGGCCGAAUAUCAAGACCUCACUGGCUAUGUUUUCUGAUGUUCUGGUUCCUUUUCCACGCUUAAAGUAUACAAGCAGGCCAUUUUACUCUAUUCCGCCAUACCAACUUCUAUGUACAAAGUUACCUUUACAAACCUAGUGUGCCUAUCAAUGUUUUUGGAAUGUUUUCUGAUGUUCCAACCUGUUCUGGUUCCUGUAUAUUAAGUUAUAAAGUUAUGAAGGACAUCAUACAUGUGUAAUACAAUUGUACUUUAUUCUUUAGAUAGACAUCCCGUAGCUUAUACAUACAUGUAAUAAAAACCUCACAGGUAUAUUAAAGUAAAGAGCAUGUGAAAUGAUUACAAAGUCUGACAGGGACUGAUCAUGUGAUACAUUGACCAUGAUAAGGUGCUCUGGUAACAAUACAAGUUCAGAUUGUAUUGAUUUGUAAAGAUGAACAAUAAUGAAGGUUAAGGUUUUGUAUAGAUUCAUAAAGAAAAAGAACGGGUCCAUAGUGGACAAUUUAGAGGCACUAAAGCCUUGACGAAUUACCUCCCCAUACUUAAACAUAGUAUGUUUAAGUCGCUGAGCCUGACUCCAUCCCACCAUAUUUUCUGCAGUAGGUUGCAGGGCCAUAAACACAGCUUUAAAUGUAGCAUAAUCCGGGAACCCUGUAUAAAAUGAUAUCUGUUUAUCAUCACCUUGAAAAUUUGAAACCCC
ensembl:lncRNA